rnacentral:rRNA from 1 species
UACGUAGGCAGCGAGCGUUGUUCGGAGUUACUGGGCGUAAAGAGUGCGUAGGCGGUUUUUCUAAGUUUGGUGUGAAAAUCUCCCGGCUUAACUGGGAGGGUGCGCCGAAGACUGGAAGGCUUGAGUAUGGGAGAGGUAAGCGGAAUUCCUGGUGUAGCGGUGAAAUGCGUAGAUAUCAGGAGGAACACCGGUGGCGAAGGCGGGGUCUCUGGGCCGAUAUCGACGCUGAGGAGCGAAAGCGUGGGGAGCGAACAGG